UACGAAGGGUGCAAGCGUUGCUCGGAAUUACUGGGCGUAAAGCGCGCGCAGGCGGUCCCGCGCGCCCGGCGUGAAAGCCCCCGGCUCAACCGGGGAGGGUCGUCGGGGACGGCGGGACUUGAGGGCGGUAGGGGCCGGUGGAAUCCCUGGUGUAGUGGUGAAAUGCGUAGAGAUCAGGGGGAACACCCGUGGCGAAGGCGGCCGGCUGGGCCGACCCUGACGCUGAGGCGCGAAGGCGCGGGGAGCGAACGGG
rnacentral:rRNA from 1 species